rfam:Stegodyphus mimosarum contig28698, whole genome shotgun sequence.
ACCUUCGUGGCGUAGUGGUCAGCACGCUCGACGCGUAUUCGAGAAUUCCGUGGUUCGAAUCCCAGCGAGGGCA